rnacentral:tRNA from 2 species
GUUUUUAUAGUUUAAAAAAAAUAUUGGUCUUGUAAACCAAAGUUAAAUUAUUAUUUUAAAAACU